rnacentral:tRNA from 1 species
ACGUAGUUCAGUGGUAGAACAUCACCUUGCCAAGGUGGGGGUCGCGGGUUCGAAUCCUAUA